rnacentral:piRNA from 1 species
GCAUGUUUGGAGGUCAGAGGACAA